rnacentral:rRNA from 1 species
GAUGAACGCUGUCGGCGUGCCUAAUACAUGCAAGUCGAGCGAACGGACGAGAAGCUUGCUUCUCUGAUGUUAGCGGCGGACGGGUGAGUAACACGUGGAUAACCUACCUAUAAGACUGGGAUAACUUCGGGAAACCGGAGCUAAUACCGGAUAAUAUUUUGAACCGCAUGGUUCAAAAGUGAAAGACGGUCUUGCUGUCACUUAUAGAUGGAUCCGCGCUGCAUUAGCUAGUUGGUAAGGUAACGGCUUACCAAGGCAACGAUGCAUAGCCGACCUGAGAGGGUGAUCGGCCACACUGGAACUGAGACACGGUCCAGACUCCUACGGGAGGCAGCAGUAGGGAAUCUUCCGCAAUGGGCGAAAGCCUGACGGAGCAACGCCGCGUGAGUGAUGAAGGUCUUCGGAUCGUAAAACUCUGUUAUUAGGGAAGAACAUAUGUGUAAGUAACUGUGCACAUCUUGACGGUACCUAACCAGAAAGCCACGGCUAACUACGU